rnacentral:lncRNA from 1 species
UUAAGGAAAGGGGUAACCGAACAUGAAGAAAAGAAAGAAAGGGAACGAAAUCCCUAAAUCCAUUUCUUCUUCUGUCAAGAGUGGCUUUUGGUCUUCACGGAAUUUGAGUGAAGCUUUCAUUGUUGGAAAUUGAAGGUAAUGAUUUUGGUUUUCUUGUUUUAUAAGACUUUGGAAUCUGAAUGCCUACUUCUCUGUGUUAUAUGUUCUCUUUCUGAUUUUUCACCCUUUCUGUCUAUUGUGUUGUUUUUUCUUGUUCCGUGUGUGUUUUCUGUUUUUAUGUUGUGUUUCAAUAUGCUACCUCUGUGUGUUUUUUCUGUUCUUCAAUAUGUUACUCUCUCUUAUAUGGUUUCUCUGUUUUUGUUGCACUGCCUCCUUUUUUUUAAUAGCUGAUUGUGGUUUUACUCAUACUAGUUGGUGUACAAAGUAUCUAAAAUAAAAUAUAUUUGAAUGCUUGAAAAAUGUAUUAAAAAAUUAAUGAAUGAAACUUAAAAAGUAAAUACAAAAAUUGUGUAUAAUAGUUUGAUAUUUUUCAAACUUUGACAAUAGCCAUGCAUAAUUCUUCUUGGAUACGGAAAGACCAUACUUGAAUCCUAUCGUUUACUUUGAGUUGAUUAGCUUUUAUGACUUUCUUCCACGAUGAUGACCUCAAAACAUAGCUAGAGCUAACCUUGCCAUCAUUCUUGCGCAUAUUCCACUUAGCCAACGUGAGAUUAGUAACUUCGAGUGAGGGCUGGAUCAGUUUCACCUCUAUGCAUUUUCCUCCCUCUAAAUCAUCUAGUUCCCCUUCUCGCACGAAAUUUUCAUUCUUGAUCUGCUUCGAAGGUAUUGAAAGCCGAUUUUGUUGUUCAUUCAAAUCUGAAUCAAACAAAGAUUUAGUAAUCAGCAACGUGGUUUCGUUGCCGCCCAUUUCAUUAAUCUUAUCUAUGAACUCUUGUGGCAAUUCAGAUGGCGCUGCUACAACUACUAAGUUAAAUCUUUGUCUUUUUUUGCUGCUGCUAGCUGCUGAUUUAUUUGGAGGUGGCUUUACAGGGACCCAGUCUUGAUCAAUAACAUCAGCAUUCUCUGUGCCAUUGAUAAUUGCUUCAUUUUUGCCCUUCAUAGCUCUCCUUUUCAUCUCUUUUAUAGGAAUAUCUUCUUCAUCAUCCUUGUAGUUCAAUUCAGCUUUAGAGCUGGUUCCUUCUUCAAAGGAAGAAGCCAUGAAGUUGAUGGGUUUAUUGGAAUUGGAAGCUUCCUCAGAACCAUCAUUUGGACUCUCCUUCACUGUUUUUGUUUUCAUAUUGAACCUGAUCUUAAGGGAAGGAGUAGAAGAAGUUGUAUCUUGAUGGUGUAGUCCAGAGGCUACAUCAGCCAACAUGUUCAAUGCAGAACACAAUGGGUCAAGAUAGAGUAAAGGGUUAUUAAUGGAGUCAUCACAAUCCAUUGUUGUUACUAUCUCAGAGCUUGGAUGAUUUUUAAGGAACAAGAGGAAAGAAUGUGAAAUGAUAUUUGGAGAGUGACGAGUUUACAAUUUAGGAACGCAUAGCUUUCUUUUAUAGUUUACUAGAGCGGUAGAUAUGAUAUAUUUUUGUAUAUUUCAAAAUUAUCUUUGUAACAGAAAGUAAAAUAGAAACAAAUCUCACUGUUAUCUUUAUUUAUCAACAAUCUCACUCUUAUUUUGUAUAAACAAAUCUUUAUGAUAUUUUAUAUACAAUGUUAAUGAUAUAUUUUCUGCAAACAAAUCUUAAUGAUAUAUUUUUUAUAAACAAGUCUUAAGAGAACCUUCCCCUCCGCAAAGUUAUUUAUUUUCCCAUACAACAAAUGAUAUAGAAAUAAUGUCUUUUAAUAUACAAACUAAUGAAAUAGAAGGGUACCCAUUUACAUAGAUAGCAUAAAGAACUUAGUCUAAUAAAAAUAUUACAUAUGAAAUACCAACUACAUGCAUAGAUAACACCAUUUGUAGAUCCAUAAAAAACCAUACUAUACAACCAAAUCAAAACACUAAACACUCCACUCCUUCCAUUUAUUGGAACCAAAAUAGUAUGAUGUAUGAUGAAUGUUUAUUUUAGGGUGUUACUAAUUAAGUUGUACUUAAAUAUUUAAGCUUCAGUUGUACUUAAUUAUUUUUUUCUUCAAAUUAAUAUCUUAGAUCAUUAAUGAUAUCUACGUAAUUACUAAAUAAUGAAUGUAGUAUAUGUAUAUAAUGGAUAACUUCAAUAGUCAUAAUAAAAAAUAAUUUCAAUAGUUACAAGAAAUGAAAUAUUUGUAAUGAUUAUAAUUAUAUUACCUCUAUGUACUAAUAGAUAAAACAAUAUUAUUAAUAAAUUAGUCUCCAUAACUCAUGUUAGAGGGAUAAGAUUAAUGAGAUGGAGAAUUAAUAUCUUAGUUCAUUAAUCAUAUCUACCUAAUUACUAAUUUGUUAUUGUCUUAUUUCCUCUAUUGGCUAUAAAUUUUAAAUUAAAAACUUUUAUAUUCUAGAGUGGGUAUCCAGUUACACCAAUAGUAAGUUUAAAAAACGUAUUCCUCAUCAUAGCCAUCAAUUCUAUGGACAUCUGAUGAUUUAAAUCUACUCACUAAUUAAAAUCAUUAGAUUUCCCUAAAAUUAAUAGUUAUAAUGAGAAAUAAAUUUAAAAAACUUACUCUUAAAAUAAGUAAAUACUUCCCCUUCACUAUAUACAUUUAUAUACAUCACUCCAAAUUAAUGAAAGAAGAUUCUUUAUUUCUCUGUAGUACAUGUAUAUUAAUAUGAUGGAUAACUUCAAUAGUUAUAAUAAAAAAUAUCCAAAUUAAUGAAAGAAGAUUCUUUAUUUCUCUGUAGUACAUGUAUAUUAAUACGAUGGAUAACUUCAAUAGUUAUAAUAAAAAAUAACUCCAGUAGUUUACAAAAAUGAAAUAUUUGUAAUUAUUAUAAUUAUAUAUAAUUUCUUUUAUAUAGUUUGCUUUGAUGUUUCCUAUCUAAAACAAGAUUACUAGACCUAGAGAAGAUUACCUCUGUGUAUUAAUAGAUAAACAAAAAUAUUAUUAAUAAAUUAGUUUCGAUAAGUCAUGUUAGAGGGAUAAGAUCAAUGAGAUAGAGAGUUACAUAUAUCUUCAGCCUUUAUUGAUAAUGAAUUCUAUAAGAGUUGAUUUAGAUUUUUACAAUUUAUUUGAUUUCUAUUUUAUUUCAUUUUUAGGCAAAUCAAAGAGGAUUAUACAUUAAUUAAACUGGGAGAUAUUAAUGACAAACUUCAAAAACUUUUUUAUCUAAAUCCUAGCUCAAUUUUAUCAAUAAAUUUAAAUUAAUCCAAAAAUGGAAGGGCUUAAGAUGAUAAAUGUUAGGCUUGGAGAGAAUGAGAGAUACACAAUGUGAAAACCAAUGUGGAUCAAAAGUAUAUAGCAGAUUAGUGAGGGAUAAUAUUAGUGAUUUUUUUUCAUUUUUUUUAUUAAAAUGUUUAUUUAGUAGAAUUAUCCAUUUAAUUUUCCAUAGCAGAAUUUAUAAUUCUAAACCAAUUCCAAUGAAUUGGAAAUAUAAUUACAAUAGUUUUAUAGUAAAUAUCUCAAUUUGUGAAAUAAAAUGAAUUGAUUUGUAUUACUAAUAUCAAGGUUAAUUAAAUUAAAUAUUUGUUUCCUCCAAUUUUUACUUGAUUUUUAAAUAAUUUCAUACUGGUAAGUUUUAAGAUUUAAUUUUAAAAAACAUCAAAAUUCGGAAGAAAAAAAACUUAUAUAAGUAUGGGAAUCUGUUUAAUUAUUUAAAAAAAAUAUUACAUGUUUUAAUAUGAUAAUCUAGGCAUCAAAAGAUUAAUUUAAACAACUUUGAACUAGGGUAAGAUUAUUUAUAUAGUAGAUUGUAUCAAUUAUGGAUAAAAAAUCGAACUAUUUUCUUGUGAAAUUUGUUCAAGUAUCAUUAUCAUUAUUUUAAUUUGUUUAUAUUUCCAAUAUUAGGUUUGGUGUUUAGUAGUAUUAAUUAAUAAUAUUUGUAUUAAAUUAUCUAUUUGAUAUUAGUAGUUGUUUAGACAAAACAUUAAAACAAGUUUCUUUUCAAAGUUUUAUAUUAUUUCUAUGGUAGAAAGGCAAUUUUUCAUCCGUUCAAUUUUAAUGUAAACUUUUUAGUUUUCGAAUUUUUUAUAUUAUGUGUUAUUUUCUAAUAUCAACGUGUACUAACUUUUUUGUCCUUAUUAAAUUAAUUAAAGUGUAAUAAUUUUUAGAAAGAGUUACUAGACAUAUUUUAAUUAUAUUAGUUAGCAACACAUUUAAUAAUUGUUUUAUGUUGUAUUUAUUAUGUUAAAUGAUAUUUAAAAUGUGAGGAAAGAAGUAUUAAAUUAAGAUUAAUGAAUUCUAUUACAAGGUGUUGAGAAUAGUCAGUAUAAGGUCAUUAGAAGUGUGUUUAGUACAAUGUUGUUAUUAAGGUAUUGUUUGGCAAUGUGAGCUUGCAUCUUUUUGAGGAAUCUUGUAGUUUUUUGAUCCAAUCAAUAAGUUAUGAGAAUGAUACUGUAAACUAAAAUUGAAUAGGUCUUGUAACUUUUAAAAAAUAAACUUAUAGUGUUUGGAAUUUAAUUUUUAGAAGCUACUUGAAGUAGUGUUUUAAAAAUGAAAGUUGUUUAAAAAAAUUUGUUUACCAAUUUAAUCCUUCAAAAUUUUAAAAAUUACAAUAUUUUUAUAAUAUAUAAACAAUCAAGCUUUUAUCCCUCUAAAAAAACUAUUAUUUUUAUAAUUUAUAAAUUAUUUUUACAUUAAAGUUUUAGUGAUGUAUAAACUAUUCUUACAUUUGAUUUUCAAACGAGUUUAUCAAUUAUUUUGAUAUUAUAUUAUUUUAACGAUGUAUAGUGUCAUCACUAGAAAAAUACUAUAAAAUUAUGCAACUUAAUUGUAUUUUUAGGAGAGCAAACUCUUGAAAACAACCAAAACAUAUAUUAAAGGAAAUAAAAAAAUAAAUAACUAUGUAUCGAAAUAAACUACCUAAAUAAAUAGAUAAAUAAAUAUAGUAUAUAUUCUUUAGUUAUUUUUUAAAUUUCAACCAGUUACAAAGCUAGAAUUUACUAAACACCUCUACUUUAGUAAGUUAUCUACAUAGCUAGAAGGUACAAGCUCACAACUACAAGCUAUAAACUCACAAGGAUAAGCUAGUUUUUUCAAAGACCCUAUAUCUAGAAAAGAAAAAGGAAAGAAAGCAAGAUUAGGUUAUAGAAUUUAAUAUCUACUUCUGAUUUUUUUUUACACAAUCACCUUAAUAUUCAUUAUUCAUGUGUUAAUUAUUAUUUAUUUUAAAUUAAAAUUGUAUAAAUAAAAAAUUGAUAAUAUAUUGACUAUGUAAACAAAUUACACUAAUAAUACAAAAGUUUAAAAUCUAUGUACUGAGAGUGUAAUGUUUUUAAACUGUUAACAUAUCAUCCAUUAUUGUUUUGUAUAAUUUUUGUUUGAGAGUCAAAAAUGGUUAACAAAUCAAUGAUGAAUGAUUUAUUGAUAGUAUAAAGAAAAUAAUACAAAGAUAUCAAAGUUUCCUAUAUUGUUGCUUGAGGGGGAGAAUAGUGACUAGUAUUAUCAAGUUAGAGUAGUUAGUUAUUCAGAUAUAUUUUUAACAAAAAUACAAAAUCUUUUGAAAUCGUACUAUUUUCUUUGAUGAGUUUUGACAAACUUACUCAAUAAAACUUAUUUUCAUCAUUUUAUAUUAUAUGGGUUCUGAUACUUAUACUCACUUAAUUAAUUCUUAAUUAAAUUUUAGUAAUUAGAGAUUAAAUACAAUAGUAACUAUAUGGAUUUUCAUUUAUAUAGCUUACAAUAUUUUUUUUAAUUCCAGCUUAAUAGUUGAUGAUAAAAAAUUAAAAUAAAAUAAAGUAGGCUUAUUGGAAAAUAAAGUUUUCGGAAAGGUCGAGUCUUAGGUAUCACGAUCCGACUUUUAGUUGGAAGGUCGAGUCUAUAACUUAAGAAGAGAAAAGUUCGAUUUCUACCUCUUUCAAUUGAUUUAGAAUCGUUACUAUAUUUUUUACAAUUAAGACGUAGAAAACUCUAUUUUUUGUCAAAUUUGGUCUUUUGAACUUGAGUUAUGAGGACAUAACUAAUUAUGGAUCGGUACCCUUACUAAUAAUAUGAACUUUUAUAUCCUUAAAAAUUAUUUAAUAAAAAUUUUAAUCUCUAAAUCAAAAAAAUUUAUGUUUUAUAUUUGUGAAUGACAAGCGCUCAUCGUGCCUCCUACAUAUCCCUAAGUGCAAUAGGAGAAUCAAUACUACAUAGUUCUGUUUUGAAAUGGUUAAUUUGUUUUUUUGUUUCCCACAUGUAUCAUCGCACUGAAUGCAGUCUUACACGAACCGGGAACAUCCAUACGUAUGUGGGGAUAACUCUCUCAGUGUUAAGUGCCAAAUUGUGAGUAAAAUGUAUAUGAAUUUGGGGCACUUAGUGUAUAGUAAGGAUACAAAUUGGGUACAACUCCUAACAACUUAGUCUAAUUUUAUCUUGUUUAGGAAUUUACAAAUGUUUAUGUCAAUUGCAGAAUAAAAAGUAUGAAAAAGAGGAGAAAAAGUAGAAGUUUGGAGUUUUUGAACACUGCUCCCCUCGUCUGAGCCACAACCUCACCCAAGCAAGAAGAGAUUCCCUCGCCCAAGCGAGGGACUCUCGCUCAAGCGAUCGUUAAAGAGGAAAAAAUGUGACACUCUACCUAGGCCUCGCCCAAGCAAAAAGGAAGUCCCUCAUCCAAGCGAGGGACUGUCACUCAAGCAACGAAUGGAGAUGGAAAGGGCUGAUUCUCUGCAUGAUCAUAAACACCAAAUCUUGUAAAUACAUACUCAAUCUCAUUUCUAAAGAAUUGAUACAAAUCCACUUUGCUCUCUGAGGAUGAUAUCCCGAUAUUUACCAGUUAUUACUUGAACGAUACGGUUCAGUUGUUGUACGAAAAUAUUUAACAAGUUUUUGGCGCCGCUGCCGGGGAGCAAUGAGCGAUUUAUAGUAGUUCUAUAGCAAGUUUAUUGAGUAUUGUAAAUAUUUAUUUUUAAUUUUUGUAGUAUAAUUAACCUUUGUGCUAACCUUUGUUGUUGUCUGCUUAUUUAUGCUUUUGCGAGGUAAGGCUAUCGAAGAACAACUACAGUACAAUCUAGAAAUCGAGAAACCAGCCAAAAGCAACCAUAAGAAAGCAAAAGAGAAUAGGAAGCAAGAGACUCAGGAAGCACAUGGUAGCUCUAAACAAUCAAUAAAUUCAGAGCCUCAGUACGAGAAAUGGAGAAUGCCAAUGCUACUACAGGGAAUAAUGAGAGGCCUAAUCCUCCAAGGAGGACGUUGGGUGAUUAUGCAAUGUAUCAAGGUCUAAGGCACUACUAAAUCAUUAUUAUUCCACACACAGAGAGAACAGUGGAAAUUAAGCCAACAUUCCUGAAUCUGGUUAGUGCACAUCAAUUCUCUAGGAAGGAUUACGAAGAUCCUUAUGCACAUCUAGACAACUUCUUUGAACUAGUGGCAACAAUAGGUUAUACUGAUGCUGAAAGAGAAGCUGCAUACAUGAUGUUGUUCCUAUUCUCUCUGUUGGGCGAAGCUACGGAUUGGCUAAAAUCCCAUAUGUUGGCAUUUGUUCCUAUUCUCUGUGUUUCAUGAAGCUACAUACAUUUGACUAGGUUUUUUCCGCCAGCUCGUUAUGUGUAUGCCAAAUUUGAAAUAUCCACUUUUAGAUAAGGCGUAGAUGAAGCAUUUUAUGAAGCCUAUGAGUGUUUUCAUGUGCUACUGAGAAAAUGCCCCAAUCAUGCUUUUGAGGAUGUGGAUCAGCUUAAUAUAUUCUACAAUGGGUUGAAGCUUGAGACCAAAAUAAUACUAGAUGCAGUAGUUGGUGGAACAAUGAUGGUUGUGGAUGUUGAACAAGCUACAAGAAUCAUAACUGUCCUAUCUUUAACAGAUAGAUAAGCACAACACAAUCAGAAGACAAUACAGAAAAAGGGAAUGCUUAAUUUGAAUACAUCUGAUGCUAUUCUAGCACAUAAUAAAAUUUUGACUCAACAGAUAGAAGCACUUACCAAGCAAAUGUCAAAGUUACCACAACAACUCCAUGUUGUACAAUCUACUCCGAGUCCACCAGUGCUGAGAUGUGAUUUUUGUGGAGGUGAUCAUGAAAAUGGUAACUGUUCUAUGCCUAACAACAAUCUAGAGGAAAAGGUUCAAUAUGUAAAUAAUCAACCUUGUCAGGGAAACUUUCCCAACAAUUCUUCAUAUAACAAUCAGUUAUCGCAAGGUUGGAAAGAAAAUCAGAACCAGAAUUAUGGUUGGAGGCAAGAAGUAGGAUCAUCCACUAGGUAACCACCAUUUCAACCAUCAUACUAGCAGGAUCCACACCCACCAUUGCAUGAGAGACAAACAAAAUUAGAAGACACUUUGGAGAAAUUCAUGCAAGUCUCCAUCAUAAAUCAGAAGAAUACUGAUGCUUUUAUCAGAAAUCUAAAGACACAAGUGGGGCAAUUAGAAAAGAAGAUGGCAAAACAACAUUCUGACCCUAAAAUUUUUUCCGCCAAUACCCAAACCAACCCUAAGGGACACUGUAAAUCUACCACUACUAGAAGUGGGAAGGUAAUUGUUUGGGGUAUUGGUGAAAAUUUGGUGGUUGAGGAGGAAGUCAUUGAGGAAACAGAGGCUGAGAAAAGAGAUAAUGUAAUCAAAGAGACACAAAAGGGUAAACAUGUACAGGAAGAGGAUAAAAUUGCAAACACGGAGGAAUCAAUGAGGGAGAAUAAUGACAAGAGGAAGAAUGGUAUGCCUCUACUAAAGGUUCUCCCUUAUCCUACGAAACCUUCUAAAAAAGAUAAGGAAAGAUAGUACACUAGGUUCAUGGAUUUAUUCAAGAGCCUACAAAUCAACAUUCCCUUUAUGGAAGCUAUGGAACAAAUGCCAACAUAUGCAAAGUUCAUGAAGGAUUUGUUGACGAAGACAAGAAAAUUUUCAGAAGAAACAGUGACAUUGGAAGCUAGAUGUAGUGCGAUUAUUCAGAAGUCUUUACCUGAGAAGACUAAAGAUCCAGGCAGCUUUACAAUAUCGGUCACUUUAGGUGAGUUAUCUAUAGGGAAGGCACUGCUUGAUUUAGGUUCUAGUAUUAAUAUGAUGCCCUUGUCCAUGUUAAAAAGAAUUGGGGAUCUAGAGAUAAAGCCUACCAGAAUAACACUGCAACUUGCUGACAGAUCACUGAAGUACCCAUAUGGAGUUGAUGAAGAUGCUUUGGUCAAGGUGGAUAAAUUGGUAUUCCUUGUGGAUUUCAUCAUAAUGGAUAUCGAAGAGGACAAUGAAGUUCCUCUAAUUCUGGGCAUACCCUUUAUGAAGACUGCUCGGAUGAUUAUUGAUGUGGACGAUAGUAAGUUGAAAGUGAGGGUACAAGAUUAGGAAGUGAAUUUUAAUGUAUUUGAGGUAAUGCGGCAACCCAAGGACAAGCAACAUUGUUUUAGAGUGAAUGUCAUUGAAGAAGUGUACAUGCAUGAUGACAUUCACCUGAGUAGAAGUAGUCCACUGGAAAAAGCUUUGAGAGAAAAAAUGUAAGAAAGCAAUAUAGAGAAGAAAAAGAAGAUUGAGACAUGUCUGGCAGAGUUAGAGGCAUCUCGAGAGGUUGCAUCUGGUCAGAAUCACAUUGCAGAAUUAGUCAAAGAGAAGGAAAUUGAAAUUUCGAAGGUGGAGCUAAAACUGCUUCCUUCACAUCUUAAAUAUGUGUUUUUGGAAGAUGGAGGAAAUAAACCGGUCAUAAAAUCAACAACACAUUAUCAUAUGCAGAAGAAAAACAAUUGAUAGAUAUGCUAAAGAAAAAUGCAGGGGCUAUAGGUUGGACACUAUUUGAUUUGCAUGGAAUUAGUCUUUCAUACUGCAUGCACGAAAUCCAUAUGGAGCAGGACUACAAACUAGUUGCUCAACCUCAAAGUCGUCUCAAUCCUACAAUGAAAGAUGUGGUGAAGAAGGAGGUGAUGAAACUUCUGGAUGCAGGAAUGGUUUACCCAAUAUCUGAUAGUACAUGGGUGAGUCCGGUUCAAGUGGUUCCAAAGAAGGGAGGAAUGACUACGGUGAGGAAUGAAAAAAAAAUUUGAUACUUACUAGAAUAGUCAUAGGCUGGAUUAUGUGUAUUGAUUACAUGAAGUUGAACCAGGCUACCGAGAAGGAUCAUUUCCCUCUACCAUUUAUGGAUCAGAUGAUUGAAAGGCUAGUUGGACAAGUAUUCUAUUGCCUUUAAGAUGGGUAUUCAGGAUAUAAUCAUAUCACUAUGGACCCAUAUGAUAAAAAAAGAUAGUUUUCACAUGUUAUUCGGACUGUGCAAUGCACCAGUCAUAUUUCAAAGGUGCAUGUUGUAACACCGUGAAUUUUCAAUGUAUAUUGUAGUAAUUAUUUAUUUUAACAAAAAAUUAUUUUAGAAAUUAAUUAGUAAUGAUUUAUGCUAAACCUUAGUUGAGUGUUAGUCUUGUAUAUAGAAUUCCUAUUUUUUGGUAAAUUUUUGUAAUUAUCUGUGACAGAAAGUUUUUAGACUGCUGUCGGGCCCAAAUUCUCCGAAUUCAGUCCGAUAACGUGUUUUUGAGUUUCGUAUCUCGAAAUUGAAUUUCGAUUGCGCCAUUGGCUUCGAAAUAUUAUUUCGAGUCAAGAUAGACAUCAAGUUUGUCCAUGACGCAUUUCUAGAUAUUUUUCACUUUGAAUUCUAUGUUCGAAAUUCUAACCGUAAACAAAAAUCGGAAGAUUUUUAAUAUCAAAUCGAUUAUUAGCCGAUAAUACUCGGACAUGAUUUAAGCGUUAAUGUUUCAUCGAAGAGGUCACUUCACUUUCACGAGUGAACCUUGCUUGUCAAGCAAGCAAAAAUAUUCAUUUCUUACACAAAACCCCUUAAACUUAUCAUCUACCCAUCACACCAUUAUUAUUUGAAAACCUUUGAUUUGCCCUCCCUAAACAAGAUUCAUUACCUUAAAAGAGUCCCUCUCACUUGGAGAACCCUUGACAUUUCAUUUCUUUCUUUUUCAUUCGGAUUUUCUCAAGAACUCCAAGGUAAGUUCUUAGUUUCCGUUCUUCAUCUCUUAAAAUCUAACCGUUAGUUGUUUACAAAAUUUUAGUAUGAUGUUUAUACGCAUGUUACAAACGUUUUCAACCGUAGAAACUUUCUAAUAAUCUUCCUAACUCUUGUUUUACUCAAGAACUCAAAAAAUGGAUUUUCGUGAAUUUAGAAAUUGUUGUUUUGAAACCAUGAAAUCUUGUUGUUCAUGGGGUUGUUUUAGUGUUUAAAAACAUGCAUGUUGUUGAUUUUGAUGAAAUAAGAUGAUGAAAUCAAGGCUCUCUUGAUUUAGAAUGUCGUUUUGAGCAUGAGAUCAACCAUUGUAAAGAAGGUGUUGGAAUGAUCAAGAACACGAUAUGAAUCGUGAACGAGACUUUCGAGGAUAAAGGAUGGUUCAAGAAUAUGAAUCUUGGAUCGCAUGGAUGAAAGUCUCGGAUGUUCUUAAAAUAGAUUAACAUGAUGUCUUUAUCUUAAAGUAGUAGGAAAACCAUUUAACUCGCAAAUCACUAAUUGGGUUUUGUGUUUAGUUUCGAGGCGUUCGAAGUCGGACAACCUACUCAUUCACGUAAAAGAGAUCAACCGCGUUUCAAACCAAGGUGAGGGAGAAUACAUCGUGACAUAGUGGUGUCCGAAUAUGACACCCGGAUCUCCCAACUACCUCAAAAGUUGGGAGCUAUAUUUAUUUUUAUUUAGAAAUUCGUACUUAACCAAAUGAUUGUGUGCGUGGAUUAAGUAAGGAUGAUUUCUUAAGCUGUAUGCCCUAGGAUAGUUUAAAAUAUCAAGUAUUGUGUUAGUUAUCCAUUAAGGAGCACCACUCGAGAAACUAAAAUGCGUAGGGAUCGAAAACAACGGAGAUUUUCAAUCCGGUGGCCCAAACGGGCAAGGAAGUAGUCUUGGCUGCUGGACCUCCUCACCUAGGUGAGGAAUAAAUAGUAGUCCUAGUCCCCAAUGGUCACUUGGGUGAUCCAACCUCGCUUGAGCGAGUGGUUCUCGCUUGGGCGAGGGCUAGUCAGGCGUUUUGCCUAUUCUGGUCGCCCGAGUGAUAGUAUCUCACCCGGGCGAGACCCAGACGGCGGUUUUGACUAGUUUUUGGUGGAUUUUUUGCUUGAGCAAGAGCCAUGCAGGGAAUUGAGUCUGUUUUGAUGAAAUUAUCGCUUGAGCGAGAGACAUGCAAUGUUUUUUAUUGCUUAUUAUUGGUUGAUUGGUUAGCCAAUAACCCUAGCUUGGGUGAGAAUUAUAUAUAAUAAUUGGGAGAGAUCGUGGCUCGAACCAAGAACCCGAUGCCCGAAGCAACAAACUUAUAUAGUUACUUUUGUUCUUGCACCUUAUGCGGGCAAGGAUUCUGACGAUGAUGUCAUGAGCAAGGUGAUUCCUAAAAAGGAUUACAUGAUAUCAUGCAGCAAGGUCAUCUGAUCAUAAGAGGCUUGGCCAUGUGGUCGUCCAAGAUAAUUCAGCGAUGGUUCGUAGUGGUAGGAUGUUAUUUCUCUAUUACGUGAUAACGUAAGAUCGGAUCCCAUAAGAAGCAUUCAUUUGGGAGAUGUCUUAGGAUGGGCCAAUCGUUUUAAAAUAAUGAUUAAAAGAUUUAAUCGCCUAACCUCGGUUAGUGUGCAUACUCAUUACUAAUAAGGAAGUAGUGGAAAUAAAAUUUACGGGAGACAAACGAGCCCCGCGAUGUUGAGAGGGGCGGCGAUGUUGGUGAUUCGUCACCAUAGUCUUGAGGGAGAGUCUAGGUGAGACGAGUCCCUUGUAUUCCUGGAUGAGGUAUUUUGCUGGAUCGGACAGUUCUCACGGUGCAAACUAGACGAUCUCUAACAACCCAUCUUUGCAAUUAGGAUCAAUGAGAGGGAUGUCCAGAAAGUGUUUGAUACGACACCGUCUUGAAAUGGACAGUUCUUUGGAAUCGAUUGAUCAUAUAUCCUUGUAAGGAAUAAUUUUUGGUCCAUUCAAAUCGGCUUGUUAUGAGACUUGUACUCGUGGUUAUUUCCGAUUAGUAUAUUGGGAUGAUAUUAGUGUAAGGAUGGAUGAAAUAAGCUGACACGAACCUCCUUUGAGAAGGUUCUCAUUUCACGAUCGUUCUUGGAUGGUGUAUCACCUUUGGCCGAGAUUGCUUGAAACAUGGCCUAGGCUAGCUUUAUUUUUGGCCGAGACAAAUUGAGUAAAUUUAGCCAGGGGAAAUAAACUUGCUUGGAUAAAAGAAAUGGAGAAGAUAUAAAGAUGAUGGUGCCACAAACUUAAUUCCUUAACUUUUAACUCAAACAAACUUAAUUUCAUUCAGUGAAUUAGAAGUACACUUAUAGGCAAACCAUGAUGGUUCUCACGUGACUCUACCAUGAAUCAAGGCUUAUUUUUGGACUAGAUUAAUCCUAAUACAUGGCUGGUUACAUUGGAUCCCUUCCAACCAUGUUUAACACGAAAUAAUGCUAGUAAAUAUCCCACAUGGGAAUUCCUAAGUAAUUAAAUUACAAAAUGCAAAAUACUUUGAAUUUCCAUGAAGAAGUGAUGCACUUUAGUCUAGGACUCCUUGAGAAUUCGGCCAUCAUUGAAUGCAUAUGGUCCGCACGAGUUAAGGAGGCAAUUUGGACUCUGAAUUGUGCAUGUAACUUGGUUUGAUGCUGUGAACACCCAAAUUUGUCCUACAUUUACUUUUUAUUUUUAGCAUAAAAAAUAUAACACCAUUUCUAUACCCACCAGAGCAUUGGGAUAAUCAAGUUGCAGAUUAAUAUUAUUGAUAUGAGUCAUAGGCGGGUAAUGCUAAAAAAAAUCAAUUAUGUCUUCUAAAGUAAUUUACAUACAACCAGUACCCUCACAGUGGUUAUCCACUCUAGGAUGAUUAGUACAUUCAUAAGUCUCACAACACAAGGAACCUAAGCCACUUCGAUAUAGUGCAUUGACGCUAUUGCUAUGGCUAUUAAACAAUUCCAGCACCUGAUUCUCGCAGCUAAAAAAGAGGAUGGCAGUAAUAUUGUUUAUAUCAAAAGAGGAUGCCACAUUAAAAUGCUAAAACAUGGACAAGAGUUCCCAUCCCAUACUGGGUUACAUUUUCUAAAUAUUUCUCUAUGAGCAAGAAUAAAUAAUACUAAGAAACUUCAAAAGGUUCAACGCAUGAAUAUUACAUCAUUUUGUUCUUUUCCCACCAUAAGGCUACAAAUGCAAACUUAAGAUUGAAGGAAACCGCAUCCAGAUUCUAAUGAAGGGGAGUCACUUCAGCCUCGCAACCACAAGCGAAUCACGAACAAUUGAUCAAUACUGGACGUACAAGUUAUCUUCUAUGGCCAACUUCCAACUGCAAAAAAAAGGGGGAAAAAGAAAAGCAUAUGCACAAAACAAUAGAACAACACUAACAAGCUCAAAGCAGUUAAAUUAUGUUGAGGAUGAAACAAAUACACAAUCUGAUCCAGCUAUCCAAUAAUUCCCAAAUACGGUUAAGGGUCGUAAGUGCAUACCUACAACAAGCACUUAUAACUUUGUCAUCCUUAUGCUGAUACAGGAAUGUUGAGGAUCACUUGAAUAAACUCACUGCUCCAGAAUCUGCAUACGUUAUGGGACCUUAUUCAUUAAUAAAAAUGAUUAGUAAAACGUACAAAGAAUAAGAAAUGUUAAAUCAAUGAAUGAAGAGAACAAUCAGGAAGAAAUUCAAAGAGGCACAAUUAAAGUGUCAUUGGCAGCAAAAACACAUGGUAAAUAGCAGAGACAUCAAAGAAUGGAAUAUUCAGUUACAAACAGCCAUAAAUAAGGCAAUUAUUGAGCAAUUGAAACAGUGGUAAGCUGCCUGAGACCAACUCAGCAGACCCAGGAAUAUGUCAUCAGUUACGUGUGCAUUUAAUCCGCAUGAAUGAGUCAGUUUCUAAACACAAAAGUCAGUAUUAGUCCUGACUCUCAAUAGGCAACCCAGGAGACCCAGAAGGUUGGCUAUAAAAGGCAUACUAUGUCAUAAGCAGAACACACAGAGGUCCUACCAAAAAUAUUCAUAAGCUAUCUACCAUAAACACACAUAAGAAGAAAAAUAAAGAACGGAGAAAAUACUUGAGUAUUCAUAUUAACAUACCACACACCACAACACAGAGAAGUAAUCAGAGGUAACAACACAGCCAUAAGAAAAUCAGAGAGAAGACAAGAAAACCAGAAAAACAUACAUUGCAACGGGGGCCAAAAAAAAAGAGGAACAAUCAGCGAGAACAAUUAUCAUACACAGUCAGAGAGGAGAACACAUACAUAUCACACAUAUAUUGUGAAAUCAGCAUACCACAACCAUACACACCAUAUAACAACUAGAGAGCAAUCCCUGCAUAUACACAUAACAACUCAGAGAAUACGUAAUAUGCUGAAGUAGGCAGAAAUCAUAUAACACGUGCAUCACACAAAUUCAGGAAUAGAUACACACGGAGACGUUGCUCAGCAGAAUCAGAGGGAUAGUUCAGAGAUAAUACGGUAAAACGAUUCAGCCAAAUCGAAUUGCUACCUAAGGUUAGUAUUAAAAUCCAUAUUCGACUUCAUAAUUUUAAUGGAUUGGUGUGUUAAUGUCAUUAUUUUUUUACUGUUCCUGCACUUAAAAAAUCAGCAUACAACAUAUAUUUUAUGGUAUAAUGUCUCCUCUUGGUUGUAAUAGCCUUAUGCGACACUAUUGGCACACCCAAAUAUUAAAGUGACCUGCCCAUGUGUCCUUACGGAACCUCUUGUCUAACCAUUUGUCCCUGCCUCCUGGGUUACGUUUGUCUGACAUGUUACAGCUAAUUAUCAAUAGUUCGAAACUAAAAUAGUAAUCAAACAAGACUGUACAUCAUCAUUUUAAUAAUGCACAUAGGUUUGUGUAAUUAAAUCAGAAUGCGAUUAAACAAAAAAUGAGGUAGAUCGUUAAAGCGAUAAUAAUGGAAGCAAUGCAUCGCAGUGACCUUAAACCAAAAUAAUACAAUUCAUUUCCAGAUUAACAUCAACCCGUAUACGUUUUUUAUAUGCAUCUCAUCAAUCAAGAAUAACAUGCUAUAAAAGAAACGUAAAUAUCAAUAUGAGGGAUAUGGUCCCUUACCGAUUUCCCGCGGAUCUAUGAUUCCAUGAUUGAGGGAUAGGUCCCAAAACCUAAUCAAGCAUGUGAAGUGAUGUAAUGGGUCUCAGGGGCAUCGUGUUCCCUCUUGGACAGAGACUCAUCUUGUUGCAUUGUGAGAAGGGAAGCCUCGAAUCGGAAAGCCAUCGCAAACCACCACCGCUAUUGGACCACCGUGAACCACCAUAAACCGCCCCCAUCAGAACCUUCGGCUAUCACCGUGGAUCCCUCCAUUCCCACGUCUGGACCGUCGGCACCGAGGAAGAAGACGGAUUCCACCUAUUGGGCCACCGCGUGGGAGAAGAUGAGGAUGAGGGUUUUUCACCUCCUGGGAUUAAUCCCCAUUUCUCUUCCUUGUUUUUUUAUUAAAUGGAGGGGGUGCCGUGAAACCCCUCCAAAUUAACCUCUUUCAUUUAUUUUUUUAUUUUUUAUUUUUGUUUUAUUUACUCAAGUAAAUUUAUUUAUUUAUUCUAUUACAUCAAUUAAUUAUUUAUCUUGGCAAGUUGAAUUGAAAUGAACGUUAAUCAAGUGGGUUUCAUACUAACUCUUGAAUAAAGAUCACAUAUCUUAUCCCAAAUUAUAUUAACAUUUGCUUAAUAAAAAUAAUAAAAUUUUUUGUUACCAAAUUAAUUUUAUGAGACUUUUAUAGUGAGGUUAUGGUUCGAGUCGUCUCUAACUUCUCUGAGAAUGGGAAGAAGGUCUACGACCAACACCGUCUCUAAGCUAUUAAAUUUCUUANNNNNNNNNNNNNNNNNNNNNNNNNNNNNNNNNNNNNNNNNNNNNNNNNNNNNNNNNNNNNNNNNNNNNNNNNNNNNNNNNNNNNNNNNNNNNNNNNNNNGUUAUGGUUCGAGUCGUCUCUAACUUCUCCAAAAAAUGAGAAGAAGGUCUACGACCAACACUAUCUCUAAACUAUUAAUUGCAUAUAUGUUCAUAAUUAAAAGCUAUUUUAUCAUUAAAUUCUAUACGCAUAAAAAAUUAAAAAUUAUAUUAUCAAAUUAAUUAAGGAAUUCUUAUAGUAAGGUUAUGGUUCGAGUUGUCUGUAACUUCUCCAUAAAUGAGAAGAAGGUCUACAACCAACGCCGUCUCUAAACUAUUAAUUCUAUAUAAAUAGUUAAAAACUAUUUUACCAAAUAAAUUUCAUGAGAUUUUAUAGUGAGGUCAUGGCCUCUGAAAAUGGGAAGAAGGUCUAUGACCAAUACCGUCUCUAAAACUAUUGGUCUCAUUGAAUCGAAACACUUACAUAUUUUGAACACAAUUCAAAUUAACCAAUUCAAUAAACUAAUACUUCUAAAACCUAUCGGUAUUUUCCAAAUCAAUAAUAACUAAUCAAAGUAGCUAAACAUUUUUUGAACUAGAACUACGUAAGCCUUGAUCCCCUUAAUAGGGGUACGUAGGACCAAAGUCAAUAUUGUCAGGCUCAAUAAUAAAAAAUAACUAAUUCUAAAUAAAUAAUUCUUAAGGGUAUAAAAGUCCAUGUUAUUAGCGAGGGUACCGUUUUAAUACGGGCGGACGGGGUGCUAAUACCUUCCCCGAUCCGUAAUCGACUCCCGAGCUCAGAAUCUCUGCUUAAAGACCAUAUUAUCCUAAUUGGGCUUACUAUAGAGUUUUCUACGUUUUAACCGCAAAAAACGUAGUGGCGACUCCAAAUCAAUCGGGAGAGGUAGAAAUCGAGUUCGUCUCCUCCCAAGUCGUAGAGCCGGUCUUCCAACCGAAAAUCGGGUCGCGACAGAUGCUUUGCACGAAACUUACACCCAUAUUUAUCAAGCUUGAGUUCCCCAUUCAUAUGAAUUAAUUGAGAAGAGAACUUGCACGAAAAUCACAUCCCUAAUUAAUCAUUCUUGAGUUCCCCAUUCGGAUGUAUUAAUUGAGUGUAGGCUUUGCACGAAAAUUAUAAUCUUCAUUUAUCAAUCUGGAGUUCCCCAUUUGGAUGCAUUAAGUGAGUGCACGAAACUCACACCCUCAUUUAUCAUGCUUGAGUUCCCCAUUCGGUUGUAUUAAGUGGGUGGAGGCUUUGCACGAAAAUCAUAUUCUUCAUUUAUCAAUAUGGAGUUCCCCAUUUGGAUGCAUUAAGGGAGUGCACGAAACUCACACCCUCAUUUAUCAUGCUUGAGUUCCCAAUAUUGUGCAUUAAGUACAACCUCUCUCCAGCUUUUAAUGAUGUUGAAUGAAGUUAAUGUUAUGGUCCCCACGAGUUUAAGGCAUCCUCUAUUUUGAAUUCAAAUAAAUAAAAGUAAGUUAGAACUAGUAAAAACAAUUAGGACACAUUAAAGAUGUCCUAGCCAUGCCUUGGACACGACCUUGGCCCAAUUUAGCUGUUUGGGAAUUAUUUUCUCCAUUCCAGCCAAUAUGCAAAGUCACAUAAUGAAUGAAGUGAUGACUCCCUUGAAUUGAACGUGGAGCAUUCUCCUUGAUGCCUUUCAUGAGUAGUCCUAGUGCAUUUUGUGCUCUUUUGGUCCUUGACCUUGUCAUGAGACCACCAAUGCCUCUUAGUUCAUCAUGAUCCAAUUUUGUCUCAUUUGGGUUCACAUCAUAAGCAUAACAUUCAUACAUUGAGAUCAUGGAUAUUGAUCCUCAUGAUCUUUGUUAUAAUAUCAUUCAUCAUUGUGCAUUUAUGUAUGAGAUAUAUAUUGUGUAUAUUAUGCGUCCCUAUCUGGAUUCUGUGUAAUUCUAUGUCGUCAAUGAAUAAUAUUAAUUAGAUGUCUUACACUCUUUUCUUUCUGUUUUUCUUCGGUUCGCGUUCUCAUUCAAAUGGACUGUACCGCAAGGAUUCGGAGCUACUGAUUCUUGAUGUCCUAGGAGGGGACAUGGAGCAGUGACAGACACCGAUAAACCUACACAUGCCCUUUUGCCUUAAAGCUGGAGAUGGUUUGUGAUGACUCUACUACGUGUUUCCCUUCACAUCAUGCAAACUUGGAGGCAUCUUUCAUUUUACAUGCUCGGAGAUUUGCACAUGUUGUACCAUCCAUUCCGUCUGUGAUUCCUCACGGACCCGUUGUUGCGAGACCAUCUACUAGGAGACGGAGUUGGGAUGACUUGCUCAAUUCCCUACCACGGAGGAGAGCUGCUCGACGGACGCUUCCCGGUCUUCAGGCAGACGCGGGAGCGGGAAGUAGGUCGCAUGGUGCAUCCAAUGACCCGGAAGAGGAGAUGGAGGAUGAAGAGGAGGAGAUGGAAGCCGAAGAGGAGAAUUGUGUGGAGUUAGUCUGUAUAGAGGACUCCAUAGAGGUGGUGAACCUCUUCUACAAUUCUGAGACGGGGGAGGACCCCAAUGAGUGUUCUAGUACACCCUUUAACACCAAAGCUAGUCACUUGUAGUCAUUUCCAUUUCUAGUUUCCCUUGAGGCGGGUAUCUAUGUAGGGUACUUUUGAUGUUUUGAAUAAAUCAGUCUAUUGUGUGUAUUUUCAGUUUGGACAAGGAUUUAUUCCGCUUUGUUUUUGCAUAAACAUUUUCAGUUGUUUCCAAUAAAGAAUUAUUCCAUGAUAUAUUAAGUGGAGUGUAGUUACCAUUAGGUAACGAUUGUUGUCUUUUCCACAAUUUAGGUUACUUAACAUGAUGUCCCCAAAAUGAGUCAAAUGUAAAUGAAAAAGUUUUACAUAAAUUUUUUUUUACCCAUUUUUGGCCAAUAUUGUUAGAGUAAUUUUCGAGUUGUUACACAUGUUAGCUAUUUAUUAUGAUCUGGUAGAGCACUGUAUUGAGGUGUUUAUGGAUGACUUCAUAGUUUUUGGGUCAUCAUUUGAUAGUUGCUUGGCAAAUCUGGAUAUCAUACUGAAGCGAUGUGUUGAAACCAAUUUGGUUUUGAAUUAGGAGAAGUGUCACUUCAUGGUGACUGAGAGAGUGGUCCUGGGACACAAGAUAUCUUCCCGGAGUAUUGAAGUUGACAAAGCAAAAGUUGAGGUCAUCAAGGAGUUUCCACCACCACUCAAUGUCAAGGAAAUCAGAAGUUUCCUUGGCCAUGCAGGUUUUUAUAGACGUUCCAUAAAGGACUUUUCUAAAAUUGCAAAACCACUCAGUAAUCUACUUAACAAAGAUACUAUUUUUCAAUUUGAUGAUGAGUGUGUAAAAACUUUUGAAACUCUAAAACAAAAACUCAUUUUUGCUCCUGUCAUAGUAGCUCCCGACUGACACUUAGACUUUGAGCUAAUGUGUGAUACCAUUGAUUAUGUUGUUGGGGCGGUACUUGGAUAAAGAAAUCUAAGGUUUUCCAUGCCAUACAUUAUGCUAGCAAAGUACAAAAUGAGGCACAAAUCAACUAUGCCACACCAGAGAAAGAAUUGCUAGCAAUUGUGUAUGCUUCGGAAAAGUUUAGAUCUUACUUGAUUAGAUCCAAGGUCAUUAUUCUUAUUGAUCAUGCUGCUAUUAAAUAUUUUCCAACCAAAUCGGAUUCAAAACCAAGAUUCUUGCGAUGGGUGUUAUUGUUGCAUGAAUUUGAUUUGGAGAUCAAAGAUAAGAAAUGGAGCGAAAAUUGUGUGGUAGAUCACCUAUCAAGGUUGGUCAAUCAAGAGGUGACAGUAAAAGAAACUGAAGUGGUGGAGGAGUUUCCAGAUGAGAAACUUCUCAUGAUUCAAGAAAGGUCAUGGUUUGCUGAUAUGGUCAAUUUCAAAGCUGCAAGGGUGAUCCCCGAUGAGUUCAAUUGGCAUCAAAAGAAGAAAUUCUUAAGAGACUUUUGUCAGUAUGUUUGGGAUGACCCUCAUAUUUUCAAGAUUGGGUCUUUUGGAUUGUUGAGGCGGUGUGUUUCAUCAGUAGAAGCCAAAAGUAUUCUAUGGCAUUGUCACAGUUCGCCAUAUGGAGGACACUUCAGUGGAGAUAUGACAACUGCCAAAGUCCUCCAAUCUGGUUUCUAUUGGCAUGCAGUGUUUGAUGAUGCACAUCACUUUGCUCAACAAUGUGAUAAUUGACAGAGAUUAGGCGUGAUCUCUAAGAGAAAUGAAAUGUCGCUGUCCAAUAUUCAAGAGAUUGAGCUUUUUGAUUGUUGGAGAAUAGACUUUAUGAGAUCAUUUCCACCAUCACACUCACAUUUAUACAUACGUGUGGCGGUGGAUUAUGUGUCCAGGUGGGUUGAAGCUAUAACUGCACCAAGGGAUGAUGCCAAAACUUUAGUGACAUUCUUGAAGAGAAAUAUAUUCAAUUGGUUUGGCACACCUCAGGUUCUUAUUAGUGAUGGAAGUUCACACUUCUGCAAUUCACAACUUAAGAAGGCCCUUCAACAUUAUGGAGUCCGGCACAAGGUGGCAUCUCCUUACCAUCCAUAGACAAAUGGACAAGCGGAUAUAUCCAACAGAGAGAUCAAAAGAAUCCUUGAGAAGACUGUCUCAACCUCAAGAAAGGAUUGGUCUCUCCGACUAGAUGUUGCACUAUGGGCUUAUAGAACAUCAUUCAAGGCACCCACUGGUCUAUCUCCUUAUCAACUGGUUUAUGGAAGGGCAUGUCAUCUCCUGGUGGAGCUUGAACAUAAAGCAUAUUGGGCAUUGAAAUUCUUCAAAAUGGAUCAGAAGGUAGUUGGUGAGAAAAGAAAGCUACAGUUGCAAAAAUUGGAGGAUAUGAGACUCACUGCAUAUGAGUCCUCCAAGUUGUACAAGGAAAAAGUGAAAAUGUACCACGACCGAAAGAUUCGAAAAAUGAUUUUUGGCUAGGUCAGAGUGUGUUGCUGUUUAACUCCUGGAUGAAACUAUUUCCGGGAAAAUUCAAGUCCAAAUGGUUAGGACCCUUCCUAGUUAAGGAAGUCAAAUCGCAUGGGGAAAUCGAGCUAGAAGAUCCAGAAUCUUAGAGAAGUUGGAUAGUCAAUGGCCAAAGAUUGAAAUCUUACUUGAGUGGUGACGUCGAGCGGCUCACCAAAAUCAUCAACUUGUUAAGUGUUUAAACUAACAAGCGUCGAGCUAAUAACGUUAAACAAACGCUACCUAGAAGGCAAUCCAGUUUUAUUUCUUUCAAGUUGUAAUUUGUGUUUGAAAAAAAGGAACACCCACUGUGUGAUCCUCGUUCAGGCGAGGAUAUCAAGCUGAAGACCCUGAGUCACUAGGCCUGACUCAAUGGGUCUGUCUCGCUCAAGCGAGGGUAUCAGGCCCAAAUUUCUUAUUCUCUCGCUCAAGCAAGAGUCCCUCACUCAAGCGAGAGGGCACGAGCUCAAUUUUUAAAAAUGGGGAUUGGGGUUCAAACCCUUCAUUUCCCCCUUUCAAAAUCAAAAGAUAAGGAGACAAAAAUAUCCCUCAAGAGCUCCAAGCCAACUUCAUCUUGCACAUACUCACUCAAGCUUCAUCAUUCAUGAUGAGAAGAAAUACAGUGGCACAGAAAGAUCCCCCUCCUCCCAAGAAAACAAAGAGAAGAUUCACUUUAGCUCUAUUUAGACCACUGAAGUUCACCUCCAAGGAAAGGGAGGAGAGGUUUCUGAUUCUCCUCCACUGGAUGUUUGUAGCAGAACUGCGGGUCCAACUACAACCAAAUGAGUAUCCAAAGAUUACUAGCCCGCUAGAUGAGCUAGGAUGGUGGAUAUUAGCAUCUCCAAAUGAUAAAUUCGACCCUGAGGUGGUCAGAGAAUUUUAUUCUAAUGCCUACCCGUUGGAGGAGGGGGAGAAGAAUUUGCACACAAAUCCUGAGUUCGAGGCACAACAAUCAGGUAUGACAUAAAUUCCAUGAAUGCCCUGUUAAAAAACCUCCAUGACAUCCAAACUGAGGCAUAUGACUAGCACGACACACUAUUGAACCACAACGAUGGGUUUCACAAUGACACCACGACUGCACUUCUAUGCAUCCCAGGGCGGUCAUAUAUCACCAACAGUGAUGGGCUACCACUGCGAAUAUAUAGAAAGCACAUGAUUACUCUGGCAUAGAUCUGGAUGAUCUUUUUGCUGCACAAUGUCAUUCCAAAUAGUCAUGUGUCUUAUUUUCCCCUGAAUGAUUGUCACCUCAUGUAUAUUUCCCCCACAUCCAAGGCAACCAAUUCAACGUUGACCCUAGUGAGCAAAAGCCACGUCAACACGGUCAUGGGUGAAAUAGCUUAUAGUUAUGGUUGUCGGCAACUUGGAGAAGAUGUUAUCUUGGCGAGCUUGACAUGCCGCUUCUGCAUAUGAAAUGACCAUGCUUAACAUGCUCUGAGUAUUAUCAUGGGUAUGUUGUGGCACAUUAGGAUUCGAAGAAGCAACAUGUGGUGUUGUAGAAGGUUACGAGAUCUUGGGUUGAAUUUAAUGAGAGUGUAUGAAACAGACUAAGUAAUAUGCUUGUGAGUAGUAGGAAGCCAUGCCAUCCAUUCAACAUUUAUUGUCAUCAUAAGGAGUUCUAUUUUGGUUCUCAUCCCCAAAAUAUGCACUGAGGUUGGAGAAAGAACUUUUUGACUCUUGCUUACUUUUUUCUUUUGUCUCACAUUCCCUCUCCUUUCACUUUCUCUUUUUCCUUUUCUUAUCUCUCUCAACGUCUGGCCACACCUCAUGCUUUGUAACUUCACCUCUUAGUAAUAGAUUUGACCAAAAUCUUAUGCCCUUUUAGUUUCUUUUUCAACGUUAUGACUUGCAUUCCAACUCUUCCAUUUUGAAACUAUCGUGGGUGAAGAUAGAUGAAGUGGUAUGAGAUAGGGAGUUUAUUGUUUAACCUCUCCUUACCUUGUAACGUGCAAGAAUAAUGAAAAGAAGUAGGUGACCUUGUUUUCCUCACUUUAAUUAAAUGUGACUUUUCUCACCCUUAUCCUAAGAGUUUUUACUAAUGAAAAAUGAAAUAUUGGUUAAAAUGAGUUUUAUUAAAAAGUGAAACGGUAUGAAUUUAAAACCAAACCGACGAUUAAUAACUUGAAAUGAAAUCGUUGGAGUUGGAUAAUCACCGGUUAUAAUUCGAAGAUAAAACUAUUCAUGAUUAAAAAUAUAUUUUUUAAUUCUCUUGUUGUUUUACAUUUUUUUUGUUAUAAAUAGGACGGACGCAAUUGAGUGUUCACAUUAAGCAAUAAGUUAGGGAUGACUUGAACCAUCAUUAUAUUAUAUAAAUCCAUAAAAUUCAUUUGUUAAGAAAUAAAUUGAUUUAAAAUGAAAUUAAUAUCAUAAAGACAAUAUUGGUUAUAGACCUUCCUCUUAUAUUAAGCACGAAGUUUAAAAUGACUUCAACCAUGACCGUACUAUAAAAAUUUCAUUUUAAAUAUUUAAAUAAUUCUUUUUUAUUGUUAAAUGAUUCAUUUUUAUUAAAACAAAAAAUUAAUGUAAUUUAGGAUAAAGUAUAAAAUAUAUUAAUUAAUAUUCAUUUUAUUACAAGAUUAAAAAAUACACAUAUACAAUGCAAGAUUUUUUUACAUUGUUAAUGUAUCAUCUAUAAUUAUUUUUCAAUUAUCAUUUAUUCUUCAAAAAAAGUAACCGAAAUAAAAAAUGGAUAAUACACUAACAGUGUAUAAAUCUUUAUGCGUACAUAUACUUUACACUCUUAUUACAAUUGUCUAAACAAAUAAUAUUAGAAAUAAUAAAACAAAUAAAAUAUAAAUAAAUAAAUAAAAAGAAGAAAAAGCAAUGUUGUGAAACCAGAGCCGGACGUUAAACCCGAAGACGUCCCGUACCAGGUUUAACUGGUUUAAACAGUUAAUCCAUCUGGUCGGGCCGAAUGAUUUCAUAUAUAAUUAAUAAUGUUUAUAAAAAAAUAUAUAAUUAUAUAUAAGUGUAAAAUUUUAUAUAAUUAAUACUAAUGUAUAAUUAUAUUGAAAUAAUAUUUCUCAAUAUAUUUUGGACCAAAAUAAAAUAAAAGAUUACAAUAGUGUUUCGUUUUUUCGUUUUUUUAAUUUUAAGUAAUCGUCCGGUUUAGUUCUCGGGUUAUUCCAGUUUAACCGAAUUUAACACAGUCAGACCAGAAUUUUCUCUCAAUUCUAAGUAGUUCAACUCUCAUUCGAUUAAUAUUGAAAACCAGAGGCAAAACCGUUUUUAAAUUCAGUCAGCGGUCAAACCGGUCGGACCGCCGACUAUGCUCCGGUAUUUAAAAAAAAUAGAGUGAAGUAAAGGGGUAACCGAAUGGUGAAGAAAAGAAACACCGGUAACGAAAUCCUUAAAUCCAUUUCUUCUUCUCUCUCCGCAAGAUUGAAAGUAAUGCGGAGGAUGUUGAGUGGGACUUUGAGAGUGGCUUUUGGUCUUCACGGAAUUUGAGUAAAGCUUUCAUUGUUGGAAAUUGAAGGUAAUGAUUUUGGUUUUUUUGUUUUAUAACAGUUUUGGAAUUGAAUUUUGAAAAAUUGAAAAUUUAGGGAUAUUGGCUGCGAAAACUCAUUUGCAUUGGGCACAGUAGAAGACAGUGUGCAUUUGAUGUUGAAAUCAAAUUAUGCGGAUCCAUUGGGUUAUGAUGUUUGAUGCAAUUAUACAAUAUGUGUGUUUCCUUUGAAACUGAAUUUAGAUGCAUUGUUUCCUUCAUAAUUGCUUAAGACUAUGUUUGGGAGUUACGAGAGAGAAAAGGAAGAAGAGAGAUCGAAUGACUAGGAGAGAAAAGACAAUUCUCUCUCUUGUUUGGAAUAUAAAACUUAGACGGAAACUAAUGAUAAUGUUAGAAUAUGUCUUAUUUUUCUUUUAAAAAUGUAGAUGAGAGAGUCUUUUUUGUUUCAGAAUGCCUACUUCUCUACUGUUCUUCUAUGUGUUAUAUGUUCUCUUUCUGAUUUUUCACCCUUUCUGUCUGCCUAUGUUGUUUUUUCUUGUUUCAUGUGUGUUUUCUGUUUUUAUGUUGUGUUUCAGAGUGCUACCUCUUAUAUCAUUUCUCUGAUUUUAUAAUUAUAUACAUAUCUAUAUAGGUAUAACAUAAGUUUGUAAGUAAUUUGGUAUUUAAGAGAAAGAUGUCGUCUGAGUGUGCAUUGUGUUCAUAACUAUUUAUCCUUUAUAUUCCAAAUCAUAGUUUAAUAAUUAACACAAAGUAGUUGGUGUACAAAGUAAUUAAAAUAAAAUAUAUUUGCAUGCUUGAAAAGUGUAUUAAAAAAUUAAAGAAUGAAAUUUAAAAACUAAAUACAAGAAGUGUCAGUAUGAUAGUUUGAUAUUUUUCAAACUUUCACGAUAGCCAUACAUAAUUCUUCUUGAACACGAAAUGACCAUACUUGAACCCUAUCUCCUACUUUGAGUUGAUUAGCUUUUAUAACUUUCUUCCAAGAUGAUGACCUCAAAACAUAGCUAGAGCUAACCUUGCCAUCAUUCUUGUGCAUAUUCCAUUUGGCCAAUGUGAGAUUAGUAACUUCGAGUGAGGGCUGAAUCAGUUUCACCUCUACGCAUUUUCCUCUCUCUAAAUCAUCUAGUUCCCCUUCUCGCAAGAAAUUUUCAUUCUUGAUCUGCUUCGAAGGUAUUGAAAGCCGAUUUUGUUGUUCAUUCAAAUCUGAAUCAAACAAAGAUUUAGUAAUCAGCAAAGUGGUUUCGUUGCCGCCCAUUUCAUUUAUCUUAUCUAUGAACUCUUGCGGCAAUUCUGAUGGUGCUGCUUCAACUACUAUGUUAUAUCUUUGUCUUUUUUUGCUGCUCCUAGCUGCUGAUUUAUUUGGAGGUGGCUUUACGGGGACCCAGUCUUGAUCAAUAACAUCAGCAUUCUCUGUGCCAUUGAUAAUUGCUACAUUUUUGCCCUUCAUAGCUCUCCUUUUCAUCUUUUUUAUAGGAAGAUCUUCUUCUUCAUCAUCGUCAUUGUAGUUCAAUUCAGCUUUAGAGCUGGUUCCUUCUUCAAAGGAAGAAGCCAUGAA